GUUGACCUCGGAUCAGGUAGGGAUACCCGCUGAACUUAAGCAUAUCAAUAAGCGGAGGAAAAGAAACCAACAGGGAUUGCUCUAGUAACGGCGAGUGAAGCAGCAAUAGCUCAAAUUUGAAAUCUGGCGUCUUCGACGUCCGAGUUGUAAUUUGUAGAGGAUGCUUCUGAGUAACCACCGACCUAAGUUCCUUGGAACAGGACGUCAUAGAGGGUGAGAAUCCCGUAUGCGGUCGGAAAGGUGCUCUAUACGUAGCUCCUUCGACGAG
rnacentral:rRNA from 1 species